GGCAUUCUUCACCUAAGGGACAGGUGGAUGGACGCCAGGGGUCUGAAAGGAACAGUGUUUGUCAUGGAUGGAGGUGUGCAUGAAGGAGGCAUCCUGAGCAGCAGGAUUAAAAAUCACAAAGAAAGAUGCCUGGAAGGGUAGCUGGCCCCACCACAUGUGGCCACACCCACAUGAAUGCCAACAGCAGGUCUCUGUGGGGAGGCACACAGCAGAAAGAGCACAGCCCGAUUUGCAGAUGCCUGCUGGAGCUGGUAGCCUGGAGAAAAAAGGCCACUUUCCCUGAAGAGUAACUGCCUUUAGGAACUAGACCACCUUGAUCUUCAGAUACUUGAAGGACAUUUUUUGAAGAUCCUACCAGCAGGAACUGUGCUCAGGGGCACCGCUGCACUGUUGAGAUUAAUCUGACCUCACCACCCUCAGUCCUAGGAGCAAACUCCAGGCGGCAGCUGUGCAGGUGCCGCUGCUUGGCGCCAGCCCUUCGUCCCUGCGGCCCUGCACAUGCUGCUCUUCCCUUCCCAGGGGUGGAGCUGGGGACACUUCCUUGCACUUCCUCUGCAGCAGCCCAAGCCCUGCAAAGGAGACUGGGCUCCCCCAGAGCCCACCAGGCAGCUCCAUCUGGCUCCCAAGAUGGAGGGUGUGGCAGAAGUCUCCAGAGGAGAUGUUUUCAGCCUUCAGAAGCUGUGAGACCACCUGGGUCCAAAGCCUGAUUCUACUGCCUGCCACCUUCACGG